UGCGGACCUACGGGAGGCAGCAGUGAGGAAUAUUGGUCAAUGGGCGCGAGCCUGAACCAGCCAAGUAGCGUGAAGGAUGACUGCCCUACGGGUUGUAAACUUCUUUUAUAAAGGAAUAAAGUGAGGCACGUGUGCCUUUUUGUAUGUACUUUAUGAAUAAGGAUCGGCUAACUCCGUGCCAGCAGCCGCGGUAAUACGGAGGAUCCGAGCGUUAUCCGGAUUUAUUGGGUUUA
rnacentral:rRNA from 1 species